AGUGAACGCUGGCGGUAGGCCUAACACAUGCAAGUCGAACGGCAGCACAGUAAGAGCUUGCUCUUACGGGUGGCGAGUGGCGGACGGGUGAGGAAUACAUCGGAAUCUACUUUUUCGUGGGGGAUAACGUAGGGAAACUUACGCUAAUACCGCAUACGACCUACGGGUGAAAGCAGGAGAUCUUCGGACCUUUCGCGAUUGAAUGAGCCGAUGUCGGAUUAGCUAGUUGGCGGGGUAAAGGCCCACCAAGGCGACGAUCCGUAGCUGGUCUGAAGGGAUGAACAGGCCAACUGGAAAUGAAGAAAGGUCCCGAAUCCUAAGGGAGGCAGGAGGGAGGAAUAUUGGAGAAUGGGGGGAAGCCUGAACCAGCCAUAGCGCGUGGGUGAAGAAGGCCUUCGGGUUGUAAAAACCUUUUGAUGAGAAAGAAACGAAGGAGGUUAAUACCACGCAGUUCUGAACGUAACCAAAGCAUAAGCCCCGGCUAAAUUAGUG
rnacentral:rRNA from 1 species